CGAGGGUGCUCCAACACUGGAGAGAUUGGACAGCCAUUUCUCUGAAAUAGUACAGGGCUUCCUGCUUCCAACUCUGUUGUUCUCUUCUCUGCUCAAGGAAUGGAAUGUGAAUCUAGAUACGUCUUUGGCCUGAUUCUGAUGUACACAGGUGAUGGAUGAAUCGUGGGAUCUGCUUCUGUCUAAAGCAUUUCAAGGAAGAUAAAGGUGCGUGCUUAUCAGACUUAUCCUGAAGGACUUUGGCAGACUUCUGU
rnacentral:lncRNA from 1 species